rnacentral:rRNA from 1 species
GGCCUUCUGGGUUGUAAACUGCUUUUGUCAGGGGAUAAGAAGCUCGUGCGCGAGAAAUUGAAUGUACCUGGCGAAUAAGCCACGGCUAACUACGUGCCAGCAGCCGCGGUAAUACGUAGGUGGCAAGCGUUGUCCGGAUUUAUUGGGUUUAAAGGGUGCGUAGGCGGUCCUGUAAGUCAGUGGUGAAAUACGGCAGCUCAACUGUCGAGGUGCCAUUGAUACUGCGGGACUUGAGUGUUGAUGAGGUAGGCGGAAUUGACGGUGUAGCGGUGAAAUGCUUAGAUAUCGUCAAGAACACCGAUAGCGAAGGCAGCUUACCAAGCAACAACUGACGCUGAGGCACGAAAGUGUGGGGAUCAAACAGGAUUAGAUACCCUGGUAGUCC